GUUGACCUCGGAUCAGGUAGGGCUACCCGCUGAACUUAAGCAUAUCAAUAAGCGGAGGAAAAGAAACCAACGGGGAUUGCCCCAGUAACGGCGAGUGAAGCGGCAACAGCUCAAAUUUGAAAUCUGGCCCCCCCCCGGCGGAUCACCCGGCGUUCGCUCGCCGGUGCACUCCGCCGGCGCCCGGGCCAGCAUCGGCUCGCCCGCGGGGGAUAAAGGCGGCGGGAACGUGGCCCCUCCGGGGGGUNUUAUAGCCCGCCGCGCAAGGCCCCGCGCCGCGGGCCGAGGNCCGCGCCCCCAGGCAAGGAUGCUGGCGUAAUGGUCGCCAGCGACCCGUCUUGAAACACGGACCAAGGAGUCGUCUUCGUAUGCGAGUGUUCGGGCGUCAAACCCCUACGCGCAAUGAAAGUGAACGCUGGUGAGAGCCCUCGCGGGCGCAUCACCGACCGAUCCUGAUGUUCUCGGAUGGAUUUGAGUAAGAGCAUACGGGGCCGGACCCGAAAGAAGGUGAACUAUGCCUGUGUAGGGUGAAGCCAGAGGAAACUCUGGCGGAGGCUCGCAGCGGUUCUGACGUGCAAAUCG
rnacentral:rRNA from 1 species